rnacentral:misc_RNA from 1 species
CAACAGAACACCCAUGCUACGUUUUUGACCUUCGCCAUGCCGUGUCCUUUAGACCAUAUUGACUGUGUUAACAACAAAUGCUUCUGUAGCACAGACAAGGUAACUACAACUAAUCAGGCAGCAAGUACCACAAGUGCAUCUCUAAGAGUUUCAACUACAGCGGCCCCUGUCGUUAGUACAACAUACUCACUUCAUACAAGAUUGAUAUGUCCAAAAUGUGAUGCCAACCUGACCUGUAAAUGGAAUCAGUCCUGCUACCCCGGGGAAGUCUGCAUGUUGAGGCAAUAUCACAUUGAUCCGUUCACAGUGCAUUGUUCGGAGAAACAAGACUGUCUUUUCAUGAAGAGGAAUAUGAACGGCACAGAGAUAUUGUGUUGUGAAGACCACCAGUGUAUUACUGACAACCUAUCUUAAAGAACUAACUGGAAGAAAAAAUGAAAUUAAAAAUUCCUCCAAGGAAACACAUUAAGAAUUCUUUCC